CUAUUAUGGAGAGUUUGAUCCUGGCUCAGGACGAACGCUGGCGGCGUGCCUAAUACAUGCAAGUCGAGCGGGUUUGUCCUUCGGGACAAGCUAGCGGCGGACGGGUGAGUAACACGUAGG
rnacentral:rRNA from 1 species